GUAACACGUAAAGAACCUGCCCUCAGGUCUGGGAUAACCACGAGAAAUCGGGGCUAAUACCGGAUGGGUCAUCGGACCGCAUGGUCCGAGGAUGAAAGGCGCUUCGGCGUCGCCUGGGGAUGGCUUUGCGGUGCAUUAGCUAGUUGGUGGGGUAAUGGCCCACCAAGGCGACGAUGCAUAGCCGACCUGAGAGGGUGAUCGGCCACACUGGGACUGAGACACGGCCCAGACUCCUACGGGAGGCAGCAGUAGGGAAUCUUCCACAAUGGACGAAAGUCUGAUGGAGCAACGCCGCGUGAACGAUGAAGGCCUUCGGGUCGUAAAGUUCUGUUGUAAGGGAAGAACAAGUGCCGCAGGCAAUGGCGGCACCUUGACGGUACCUUGCGAGAAAGCCACGGCUAACUACGUGCCAGCAGCCGCGGUAAUACGUAGGUGGCAAGCGUUGUCCGGAAUUAUUGGGCGUAAAGCGCGCGCAGGCGGCCUCUUAAGUCUGAUGUGAAAGCCCCCGGCUCAACCGGGGAGGGCCAUUGGAAACUGGGAGGCUUGAGUAUAGGAGAGAAGAGUGGAAUUCCACGUGUAGCGGUGAAAUGCGUAGAGAUGUGGAGGAACACCAGUGGCGAAGGCGACUCUUUGGCCUAUAACUGACGCUGAGGCG
rnacentral:rRNA from 1 species